UACGUAGGGGCCAAGCGUUGUCCGGAUUUAUUGGGCGUAAAGAGCUCGUAGGCGGUUGGGUAAGUCGGGUGUGAAAACUCCAGGCUCAACUUGGAGAUGCCACCCGAUACUGCUCUGACUUGAGUUCGGUAGGGGAGUGGGGAAUUCCUGGUGUAGCGGUGAAAUGCGCAGAUAUCAGGAGGAACACCGGUGGCGAAGGCGGUUCUCUGGGCAUGUCCUGACGCUGAGGAGCGAAAGUGUGGGGAGCGAACAGG
rnacentral:rRNA from 1 species